GAUGAGCGCUAGCGGCAGGCUUAACACAUGCAAGUCGAGGGGUAGAGUAGCAAUACUUGAGACCGGCGCACGGGUGCGUAACGCGUAUGCAAUCUACCUUAUACAGAGGGAUAGCCCAGAGAAAUUUGGAUUAAUACCUCAUAGUAUAAUUGAAUGGCAUCAUUUAAUUAUUAAAGUUCCAACGGUAUAAGAUGAGCAUGCGUCCUAUUAGCUAGAUGGUAAGGUAACGGCCUACCAUGGCUACGAUAGGUAGGGGUCCUGAGAGGGAGAUCCCCCACACUGGUACUGAGACACGGACCAGACUCCUACGGGAGGCAGCAGCGAGGAAUAUUGGACAAUGGGCGCAAGCCUGAUCCAGCCAUGCCGCGUGCAGGAAGACGCAUCUAUGGUGUGUAAACUGCUUUUGUACGGGAAGAAACACUCCUACGUGUAGGAGCUUGACGGUACCGUAAGAAUAAGGAUCGGCUAACUCCGUGC
rnacentral:rRNA from 1 species